GUGGGUGAGGACGGCCUUCGGGUUGUAAAGCUCUGUCCUCGGGGACGAAACAAAUGACGNUACCCGAGGAGGAAGCCCCGGCUAACUACGUGCCAGCAGCCGCGGUAAUACGUAGGGGGCGAGCGUUGUCCGGAAUUACUGGGCGUAAAGGGCGUGUAGGCGGCCGCUUAAGUUCGGUGUGAAAGGCAUGGGCUUAACUCAUGGACUGCAUCGAAAACUGGGCGGCUUGAGGGUGGUAGAGGAGAGCGGAAUUCCCGGUGUAGCGGUAAAAUGCGUAGAUAUCGGGAGGAACACCAGUGGCGAAGGCGGCUCUCUGGGCCACACCUGACGCUGAGGCGCGAAAGCUAGGGGAGCAAACGGGAUUAGAUACCCCGGUAGUCCUAGCCGUAAACGAUGGGUACUAGGUGUAGGAGGUAUCGACCCCUCCUGUGCCGCAGCUAACGCAAUAAGUACCCCGCCUGGGGAGUACGGCCGCAAGGUUGAAACUCAAAGGAAUUGACGGGGGCCCGCACAAGCAGUGGAACAUGUGGUUUAAUUCGACGCAACGCGCAGAACCUUACCAGGGCUUGACAUCCCCUGACUACCGCGGAAACGCGGGGUCCAUGGCUUCGGUCAUGGCAGGGUGACAGGUGGUGCAUGGUUUGUCGUCAGCUCGUGUCGUGAGAUGUUGGGUUAAAUCCCGCAACGAGCGCAACCCUUCUCCUUUG
rnacentral:rRNA from 1 species